CCAGGAGGAAGGGGGGACUGUUAGCAGUGUGGAAUUGAGUUGGAAGAGACCUUUAGAACAGCUGGUCAUUAUGUCAACCGGGUGUCCACACUAAGUUCGGCAUCAUUAUGGUGACUUCCUGGGAGCAGGGGACUACCAGGUUGCCUAAGGAUGGGUGAACUGGCCCAGGUCAGAAAUGAAGCAGGUCAGAACUCCCAUGCUGAUCAGUAGUGGGACUGCACCUGGGCAGCACAGCGAGCUCUUGGCUCUUAAAAAAGAAUAAAAU
ensembl:misc_RNA Metazoa_SRP Metazoan signal recognition particle RNA